AUGGACACUUCUCCAGGCUUUGUGACAGCAAUACUCCUCUUAUUUGGGGCUGCUGGCAAGACCCAAGUGGAGCAGAGUCCUAAGUCCCUGGUUGUCCUGCAAGGAGAGAACUGCAUCCUUCAUUGCAAUUACACUGUGAGCCCUGCUAACAACUUAAGGUGGUACAGACAAGACACAGGCAGAGGUAUUGUGUCUCUGGCACUCAUGACUUACAUAGAAAACAAAAAGUCAAAUGGAAGAUAUUCAGCAAUUCUGGAUGCAAAUGCUAAGAACAGCACCCUGCAUAUCACAGCCGCCCAGCUGGAGGACACAGCCUUCUACAUCUGUGUGGUCGGUGCACCGUGCUCCACAGGGGUGAGCAGCCAGCAGAAGUUGCAGCAGAACCCAGAAUUCCUCAGUGUCCCAGAAGGAACCAUGGCUUCUUUCAACUGCACUUUCAGUGAUGGCAAUUCUGAUGACUUCAGGUGGUACAGACAGCAGCCUGGGAAAGGCCCCGAAUUGCUCGCGUCUAUAUUCUCUAGUGGAGAAACAAAAGAAGGUAGAUUCACAAUUCACCUAAACAAAGACAGCAGGCAAGUUUCUCUGCACAUCAGAGUCUCCCAGCCCAGUGAUUCAGCUGUCUAUUUUUGUGCAGUGAGAACACAGUGCUCCCCAGGCACCUAG